rnacentral:rRNA from 1 species
GACGAACGCUGGCGGCGUGCAUAAUACAUGCAAGUUGAGCGCUGAAGGUUGGUACUUGUACCAACUGGAUGAGCAGCGAACGGGUGAGUAACGCGUGGGGAAUCUGCCUUUGAGCGGGGGACAACAUUUGGAAACGAAUGCUAAUACCGCAUAAAAACUUUAAACACAAGUUUUAAGUUUGAAAGAUGCAAUUGCAUCACUCAAAGAUGAUCCCGCGUUGUAUUAGCUAGUUGGUGAGGUAAAGGCUCACCAAGGCGAUGAUACAUAGCCGACCUGAGAGGGUGAUCGGCCACAUUGGGACUGAGACACGGCCCAAACUCCUACGGGAGGCAGCAGGAGGGAAUCUUCGGCAAUGGACGAAAGUCUGACCGAGCAACGCCGCGUGAGUGAAGAAGGUUUUCGGAUCGUAAAACUCUGUUGGUAGAGAAGAACGUUGGUGAGAGUGGAAAGCUCAUCAAGUGACGGUAACUACCCAGAAAGGGACGGCUAACUACGUG